rnacentral:rRNA from 1 species
ACUCAAAGGAAUUGACGGGGACCCGCACAAGCGGUGGAUGAUGUGGUUUAAUUCGACGCAACGCGAAAAACCUUACCUACCCUUGACAUGGCUGGAAUUCCGCAGAGAUGCGGAAGUGCUCGAAAGAGAGCCAGCACACAGGUGCUGCAUGGCCGUCGUCAGCUCGUGUCGUGAGAUGUUGGGUUAAGUCCCGCAACGAGCGCAACCCUUGUCAUUAGUUGCUACGAAAGGGCACUCUAAUGAGACUGCCGGUGACAAACCGGAGGAAGGUGGGGAUGACGUCAGGUCAUCAUGGCCCGUAUGGGUAGGGCUACACACGUCAUACAAUGGCCGGUACAGAGGGCUGCCAACCCGCGAGGGGGAGCUAAUCCCAGAAAACCGGUCGUAGUCCGGAUCGCAGUCUGCAACUCGACUGCGUGAAGUCGGAAUCGCUAGUAAUCGCGGAUCAGCUUGCCGCGGUGAAUACGUUCCCGGGUCUUGCACACACCGCCCGU